GAUUAACGCUGGCGGCAUGCCUAACACAUGCAAGUCGAGCGAAUGGAUUAAGAGCUUGCUCUUAUGAAGUUAGCGGCGGACGGGUGAGUAACACGUGGGUAACCUGCCCAUAAGACUGGGAUAACUCCGGGAAACCGGGGCUAAUACCGGAUAAUAUUUUGAACUGCAUGGUUCAAAAUUGAAAGGCGGCUUCGGCUGUCACUUAUGGAUGGACCCGCGUCGCAUUAGCUAGUUGGUGAGGUAACGGCUCACCAAGGCAACGAUGCGUAGCCGACCGGGGGGAGGGAUCGGCCACACUGGGACUGAGACACGGCCCAGACUCCUACGGGAGGUAGCAGUAGGGAAUCUUCCGCAAUGGACGAAAGUCUGACGGAGCAACGCCGCGUGAGUGAUGAAGGCUUUCGGGUCGUAAAACUCUGUUGUUAGGGAAGAACAAGUGCUAGUUGAAUAAGCUGGCACCUUGACGGUACCUAACCAGAAAGCCACGGCUAACUACGUGCCAGCCGCCGCCGUAA
rnacentral:rRNA from 1 species